GACGAACGCUGGCGGCGUGCUUAACACAUGCAAGUCGAACGGAAAGGCCCUGCUUUUGUGGGGUGCUCGAGUGGCGAACGGGUGAGUAACACGUGAGUAACCUCCCCUUGACUUUAGGAUAACUUCAGGAAACUCGGGCUAAUACCGGAUAGGAGCUCCUGCUGCAUGGUGGGGGUUUGAAAGUUUCGGCGGUUGGGGAUUGCCUGGGGGCCUGUCAGGUUGUUGGGGGGGUAGUUGCCUACCAAGGCUUAGACGGGUAGCCGGCCCGAGAGGGUGAACGGACACAUUGGGACUGAGAGACGGCCCAGACGGCUACGGGAGGCAACAGGGGGGAAUAUUGCACAAGGGGGCGAAGCCUGAUGCAGCGACGCGGCGUGCGGAAUGACGGCCUUCGGGGUAAAAACCGAUUUCGCAUGAGAAGAAGAGUGAGUGACGGUAAUGGGUAAAGAAGCACCGGCUAACUACGUG
rnacentral:rRNA from 1 species